rnacentral:rRNA from 1 species
UACGUAGGCAGCGAGCGUUGUUCGGAGUUACUGGGCGUAAAGAGUGCGUAGGCGGUUUUCUAAGUUUGGUGUGAAAUCUCCCGGCUUAACUGGGAGGGUGCGCCGAAAACUGGAAGGCUUGAGUAUGGGAGAGGUAAGCGGAAUUCCUGGUGUAGCGGUGAAAUGCGUAGAUAUCAGGAGGAACACCUGCGGUGUAGACGGCUUUACUGGACCAUAACUGACGCUGAGGCACGAAAGCGUGGGUAGCAAACAGG